rnacentral:rRNA from 1 species
AUUGAACGCUGGCGGAAUGCUUUACACAUGCAAGUCGAACGGCAGCACGGACUUCGGUCUGGUGGCGAGUGGCGAACGGGUGAGUAACAUAUCGGAACGUAUCCAAUAAUGGGGGAUAACUAAUCGAAAGGUUGGCUAAUACCGCAUACGCCCUACGGGGGAAAGCUAGGGACCUUCGGGCCUGGCGUUAAUGGAGCGGCCGAUAUCUGAUUAGCUAGUUGGUGGGGUAAAGGCCCACCAAGGCGACGAUCAGUAGCUGGUCUGAGAGGACGACCAGCCACACUGGAACUGAGACACGGUCCAGACUCCUACGGGAGGCAG